rnacentral:ncRNA from 1 species
UGUGGUUGAAAAGUGUGAUAUUAAAGCUAUAUUUUUUUAUAAAUGAGUUGCACAGACUGCAGAUUGCAGGCUACAGGCUACAGUAUCGAGACCUAUGAAGAUAUUUACUUCUUUUAAACACUAUUUUAUUGUAAAUCCUGUUGGUGGCAUAAAUAGUAGAAUUAUAUGAAAGUUAGGGGAUCGAAGCCGAUGAGAUACCGUUGUAGUCUUAACCAUAAACUAUGCCGACAAGGGUUUGGUGGUAGUUGGCUAUUUUACUCCAUCAGCACAUAUUUUGUGGUUCAUCGAUUGCCA